rnacentral:misc_RNA from 1 species
UCGGUUCACGAUCUGAGCAGCCUCACUGCCGGCGUCGCCAUUCGUAUCCUCGGCGGAGAAAAGCCUGGUGACAUCAAGAUUCCAUCGGUCCGAUACGCUGAUCCCAAAUUCGAUUGGCGCGAAUUGCAGCGCUGGCAUAUCAGCGAGAACAACCUUCCUCCGGGAAGCCAGGUUCUGUUUCGUGAGCCUGGCUUGUGGGCCAAGUACCAUUGGCAGGCAUCCUUGAUCACAGGCGUAAUCCUGAUCCAGGGUGUGUUGAUCAGCGGGUUGCUCCAUGAACGACGUCGCCGCCGAGUCGCCGAGGUCGAAU